AUAUUAUUAAAUUAUAAUUUGGAAUCACAUUAACCAUUGUAUUAAUUUUUUACACAUAAUAUUUUUUUUUUUUUUCAUCUACCACUCUAUUAGUUUAUUGGAUGGAAUGUUGAUGUGGCCAUAUAGAGGCAACCCAGUUAAUAAAAUAUACUGAGUGCAAUCGACUGAAGAGAGCAACGAAAUUCGGAGGCUUAUAGAUGAAGUUCGUAGAGGAGAAGAACUUAAAAAAGACAGAUUGGGACAAUAAUACAAACUGAUUGAUUUCUUUUAUGAGAAAACGAUGUGUUUUUAUCUGAAUUGGCAGUUGAGUCAACAUAUUUUAUUGACUGAGCCGCUUUUGCAGGACAUAAGCAUUCCAUCCAAC
rnacentral:lncRNA from 1 species